CGUUUAUUUGAUAGUUCCCUACUACUUGGAUAACCGUGGUAAUUCUAGAGCUAAUACAUGCAAAAAACCGCGACUUCGGAAGCGGUGUAUUUAUUAGAUUAAAGACCAAUGCCCUUCGGGGCUGACUGGUGAUUCAUGAUAACUUCUCGAAUCGCACGGCCUUGCGCCGGCGAUGGUUCAUUCAAAUUUCUGCCCUAUCAACUUUCGACUUUAGCGUAGUGGGCUAAAGUGGUUACAACGGGUAACGGAGGGUUAGGGCUCGACCCCGGAGAAGGAGCCUGAGAGACGGCUACUACAUCCAAGGAAGGCAGCAGGCGCGCAAAUUACCCAAUCCCGACACGGGGAGGUAGUGACAAUAAAUACUGAUACAGGGCUCUUUUGGGUCUUGUAAUUGGAAUGAGUACAAUUUAAAUCCCUUAACGAGGAACAAUUGGAGGGCAAGUCUGGUGCCAGCAGCCGCGGUAAUUCCAGCUCCAAUAGCGUAUAUUAAAGUUGUUGUGGUUAAAAGCUCGUAGUUGAACCUGGGCCUCGCGCAGACCGGUCCGCCUCACCGCGUGCACUGGUCCUGCCGGGGCUUUCACUAGGGGAUUCGCAUGCCCUUCACUGGGCGUGCGCGGAACCUGGACCUUUACUGUGAAAAAAUUAGAGUGUUCAAAGCAGGCCUAUGCUCGAAUACAUUAGCAUGGAAUAAUAGAAUAGGACGUGUGGUUCUAUUUUGUUGGUUAUGGGACCGCCGUAAUGAUUAAUAGGGACAGUCGGGGGCAUCAGUAUUCAAUUGUCAGAGGUGAAAUUCUUGGAUUUAUUGAAGACUAACUACUGCGAAAGCAUUUGCCAAGGAUGUUUUCAUUAAUCAGGAACGAAAGUUAGGGGAUCGAAGACGAUCAGAUACCGUCGUAGUCUUAACCAUAAACUAUGCCGACUAGGGAUCGGGCGAUGUUACUUUUUGACUCGCUCGGCACCUUACGAGAAAUCAAAGUUUGUGGGUUCCUGGGGGAGUAUGGUGGCAACGCUGAAACUUAAAG
rnacentral:rRNA from 1 species